GACGAACGCUGGCGGCGUGCCUAAUACAUGCAAGUCGAACGCAGUGGGGACGGGUGAGUAACAAGUGGGUAACCUCCCAUAAGAGGGGAGAACACUUGGAAACAGGUGCUAAACCGAUACUGAUGGAUGAACCAGGGGGGGAUUAGGUAGUUGGUGGGGUAACGGCUCACCAAGGCCACGAUGCAUAGCCGGCCUGAGAGGGUGAUCAGCCACACUGGGACUGAGACACGGCCCAGACUCCUACGGGAGGCAGCAGUGGGGAAUCUUCGACAAUGGACGCAAGUCUGACCGAGCAAUGCCGCGUGAGUGAAGAAGGUUUUCGGGUCGUAAAGCUCUGUUGUUAGGGAAGCGUUAUCUGACCAGAAAGCCACGGCUAACUACGUGCCAGCAGCCGCGGUAAUAC
rnacentral:rRNA from 1 species